rnacentral:misc_RNA from 1 species
GAUGAAGACGUAGCGAAAUGCGAUAAGUAAUGUGAAUUGCAGAAUUCCGUGAAUCAUCGAAUCUUUGAACGCACAUUGCGCCCGCCAGUAUUCUGGCGGGCAUGCCUGUCCGAGCGUCAUUUCAACCCUCGAACCCCUCCGGGGGGUCGGCGUUGGGGACCUCGGGAGCCCCUAAGACGGGAUCCCGGCCCCGAAAUACAGUGGCGGUCUCGCCGCAGCCUCUCCUGCGCAGUAGUUUGCACAACUCGCACCGGGAGCGCGGCGCGUCCACGUCCGUAAAACACCCAACUUCUGAAAUGUUGACCUCGGAUCAGGUAGGAAUACCCGCUGAACUUAAGCAUAUCAAUAAGCGGAGGA